AGAUUGAACGCUGGCGGCAGGCCUAACACAUGCAAGUCGAGCGGUAGAGAGGUGCUUGCAUCUCUUGAGAGCGGCGGACGGGUGAGUAAUGCCUAGGAAUCUGCCUAGUGGUGGGGGAUAACGUUCGGAAACGGACGCUAAUACCGCAUACGUCCUACGGGAGAAAGCGGGGACCUUCGGGCCUCGCGCCAUUAGAUGAGCCUAGGUCGGAUUAGCUAGUUGGUGAGGUAAUGGCUCACCAAGGCGACGAUCCGUAACUGGUCUGAGAGGAUGAUCAGUCACACUGGAACUGAGACACGGUCCAGACCUCCG
rnacentral:rRNA from 1 species